rnacentral:rRNA from 1 species
CCUACGGGCGGCAGCAGUGAGGAAUAUUGGUCAAUGGACGAGAGUCUGAACCAGCCAAGUAGCGUGAAGGAUGACUGCCCUAUGGGUUGUAAACUUCUUUUAUAUGGGAAUAAAAUGUUCCACGUGUGGGAUUUUGUAUGUACCAUAUGAAUAAGGAUCGGCUAACUCCGUGCCAGCAGCCGCGGUAAUACGGAGGAUCCGAGCGUUAUCCGGAUUUAUUGGGGUGAAAAGGGGCGUAGGUGGAUUGUUAAGUCAGUUGUGAAAGUUUGCGGCUUAACCGGGAAAUUGCAGUUGAAACUGGCAGUCUUGAGUACAGUAGAGGUGGGCGGAAUUCGUGGUGUAGCGGUGAAAUGCUUAGAUAUCACGAAGAACUCCGAUUGCGAAGGCAGUUCACUGGACUGCAACUGACACUGAGGCUCGAAAGUGUGGGUAUCAAACAGGAUUAGAUACCCGAGUAGUC